rnacentral:rRNA from 1 species
CAGUCGCCGCGGGAAUACGUAGGGUGCAAGCGUUAAUCGGAAUUACUGGGCGUAAAGCGUGCGCAGGCGGUUAGAUAAGCCAGAUGUGAAAUCCCCGAGCUCAACUUGGGAACUGCGUUUGGAACUGUUUAACUAGAGUGCGUCAGAGGGGGGUGGAAUUCCGCGUGUAGCAGUGAAAUGCGUUGAGAUCGGAAGGAACGCCCGUGGCGAAAGCGAGGCCCUGGACCUUUUCUGACGCUGAGACGCGAAAGCCUGGGGAGCGAACGGGAUUAGAUACCCGAGUAGUCCCUGUCUUUUAUAC